rnacentral:lncRNA from 1 species
UGCCCCUGAGGUCUGAGACCUCCGACCUUGUAUUAUUAUUUCAUUACAAUUUUUCUUUUCCUUUUUGUCUUCAAGGAUCAUCCAAUCAAUAAAGUUGAAUUUUUUGUCGUGGGUGGCUUCUCCCUCCUCCCCUUCUUCUCUCUGCUUUUCUUCCUGCGAUGAGCCAUGUUUUGACGCUUUUGCCUUCCACUGGCAGUGUCUUGCA